CUUCUUCGUUUUAUCUUCUCUCAAUUUCGAGGCGGACGUUCGAUUUUGAAGCCCGCCAUCGUCGUUCUCCGGACUUGGUUUUCUUAUACAUUGCUCGGCUUUGUGUUCACUGUUCCGUACGGUAUCGUGCCUCCGAUCGAUUCUGCUUGUCCGCGUUGAUUUCAACUCCGACCGACGGUCUUCGUUUUUUCUGUUAAUUUGAUCUUCGGUCUCAACCUUUCUUCACGUCGCACGAUUCGGGCAAGAAUUUAAAGAUAAUUAUCACGAUGGAUGCUGCAAGUGGGCCAAAACCUCUUCAAACAUUCACAGAGUGGUUUAUUGACUGUGGUAUGACUGCUGAAUUUGCUGCUGCCAUGGUCAAUGAACUUGGUAUCUCCAGUUACUCGGUCCUGCUUGCCUGUGCUGAGCCACCCUCCGUGCGAGCGGAAUUGUUUACUCAGGCUCGAAGCAAAUUGCCCUUUGGUUUUUAUGCCUCAUUACGGCAUCUCAUGGACACGUGCUUCCCACACAAUGCAGGGGAGAAUGCACCGAGGGAGAAUGGCACGUGUUACGUUCCAUUCGAGGAGAGGGUUCUUACUCCGUUACUAGAUCUUUUGGCAGGGUUAAUGGCAGGACUAGCAGAGGAGCUCACAAUGUAUCGUCAGCGGGUGUUAGGUCUGCAUUCGGAAGGACUUACUUCACCCAGCGAGUCCAUAAGAGACAACGUCUCACAAUGCAACUCCAACAUCGGUCCAUCAGGGUUGAGGUCGGGACUUGAUGUGGAGGAACCGGAUGUGCCUGGGGAUUUGGAAGAACCACACAAAGAACUGGAAGAUUCAAGACAGCCUUGUAAUUUUGAUGGUGAUCUCAUGAAUGGACAGCAGCCUGUAAAUGAGAAUGUGAUUGCACAAAUGCAGCUGGAAAUCAAGGUCGAAACAGAACCUACUUGCGAUUAUGUUGGCCAUCCAAAAGAAGCUGUGUAUGCCCUGGCUGAAAAACACGGGAAGGCAAGGCAUCCCUGACCAAGGACAAUCCACCAUGUAUGUGACACGCCUACGAGAAGCCGGAUAAGGAACAGGCCAUCAACAACCACAUAAGUCGAUUCAACAUUGGGUCUUAGAUGUGGCUUAUUCUGCCUCGGACUGGAAACGGACAAAUACGGUCGGAAUCCUCGGUACUCUCCAUGAGGACCGGGGAAUGUCUUUCUAAUCUUCAAAACUGAACAAAAUGGAAGAACUCUCCAGAAUUUUCCAACACCAGCUGCAGAACUGUCUAUAGGCUACAUGCCGAUAUUUCCUGUAAAGACAAAAAUGGAAAAAUAUUAUUGCUGGUCAUGUGGAAUUUGAAGUAUAAUAAAACUUAUGAUAUUUCCCAUGGACGCGUAUCCAUCCAUCCAUUGGGACCAUACUCUGUGCAACGCAUUGGUGCUGACUAAGCAGUCUCCUUGGCUAUUGGGCACAAAUCCUGGACGGGUCACCACUCCAACACAGGAUACCAACAAGCUGGUACUCAUUUGCUGACCUCAGAAGGAUGGCAGGCAGAAUCAACCCCACCUGGUAUUAAUUAAACAGCCAAGCAGGAUUUGAACUCAGGAUCCUUGGAUCCCAAGCCCACCACCCUAACUAUUAAGCCAACACCAGGCAUAUGUACAUGUAUGCUGUCAUGUUGGUACUUGAUUGUUGUUCGUCUGUCUGAUGAUGCUGUUAGACUUGUUAGUUCCCUUGUUAGACUUGUUAGACUAACAGCUCACACUUUGAUGUGCUGAAAUAGGCCCCAGGGAAAUUAUCAGAUGUGACGUGUCUAUUUUUGUAUUCCAUGUACACGUAUCUCUAAAUACAGCUCUCAUUUUGUUUACAUACAAUCUUACUGUGUUUUCCAUUUAAAUUGUACUUACUAAUAUAAUGACUGAAGCUUCAAAAGUUAAUUUUUUGGGAUACAAUGUUGAGGGUCGUAUGAGAGUUAACACACAGAACGUACAACAAGGGGAGCAGGAGACUCGAGGGGUGGGAGAGGGAAGGAAAAAAACAGUAAAACAGACAUAAGGAGAUCUGUGGAAGGGAGAGGGAUGGGAUGGGGUGGGGUACACAGGGAAAACAAGAUGGACACUACCGAGACUUUUAGGUCCUUACAUGACAAAGACUUAUAAGAAGGUAAGCAGGGGAUUUGAAUGAGGUGGGUUUGCGGUGGAUUAGCGGGGGUAAAAAAAAAGAUCAUUGUUUUGGAUGGGGGAAGAUAUGAGAUGGUGGUGAAUAUCUGUUUUGAAGACCUGCAGAGACCCAAAGACUCGGCCUCAUCACAGGAUAUACCAAUGAUCCUAAAUGCCUUGGUUUCUACAGCGUGAAGUGAGAAAGAUGAGAGGUGGGAGCACCAGCCCAGAGGGGAGAGCAGCACUCCAUCAAGCUGUGGACGAAAGCUUUGUAUGUGGUCAGGAGCUCAGGUGUGCCAAGGAAGGAUUUUGUACGACAGAGGAUGCCCAGUCGGCGACUGGCUUUGGAGGCCAGCUUGGAAAUGUGACUUUUCCCGGAAAGAUCAUGGCAGAUAGUGAGACCCAGAAGCUUGAAUGAAAGGACUUCUUCAAGAGGAUUGUUGAGAAAGUAGAUGGGGGGGGGGGGGUUCCCACCCGCC
rnacentral:lncRNA from 1 species